UACCUCUUGGCUGUGUGUGUGUUUUGGAGGUCAGGAAUUGGAGAGUGGCUUCGCUGGGUGGGGCUAGCUCAGGGUCUCUCGCGUGAUUCCAAUCAAGAUGGCGGCAAGGCUCUGCUCAUCUGAAGGUUUGACCAGGGCCGGAGGGUCCAUUUUUAGGUUGGCUCACUCAUGACACUGGCAAAACAGUGCUGGCUGUUGGCAGGAGGCCUCCGUUCCUCACCAUGUAGACCAGUCCAUAGGGCUGCUUGAGUGACCUCAUGACAUGGCGGCCGCUUUCCCCAGAGAAAAUGACCCAAGGGAGAGCAGACAAUGUCUCUUACGACCUAGCUUUGGAAGUCACGCACCAACAUUUCUGCGAUACCCUGUCGGUUACACAGUCCAGCCCUGUUCGGUGUGAGAGGUGGGUCCCAGCAAACAAGGAUCACUGGGGCCAUGUUGGAGGUGAGCUGCCACACGGGACCUCUACUGAGCACUUAUGUACAUUAUUUCUAGUCCUCACAACACUGCUCUGAGCUGGUUUUAUUAUCCUCAUCGUACAGACGAGAAACUCUCUCCAAGGUGGUUAAGGGUCUCGCCUAAGAGCUGAAACUUCCAAAUGAUAAACAUCGCCUUUAUGGGAGAGUCCAAAGUCACAUGACCAAGGGCGUGGAUACCGAGGACCAAAACACAACUAAAGUCUGCAUCUUUCUAAAGACAUGACCCUCCCAAAGCCAGAGGCCGUGCUCCUGAGAAGCUACGUUUUGAAGCAGUCUCUAUUACUUGAUUUAGCAGCAGCUGCAGCCUGAACCCCCAGCGCCCGCCCGCAGCUGGGAAGCCCUGUCAGAAGGUGUGUUCUUUGGGAAGCCAGCUGGCCAGGGCACUGCAUUAUGCUGUCAUCAGCAGGUGCUUUCUCUAGAUGUCCCGCCAAACCUUUGUAGAAUGCCCUGACAGCCUAGUGCUGGGCUGCAAGAAACAACUGAACAAGGUUAAGACUGAUAAAACAGAUUUCAUCUUAAAAGAGGGCCCAGAGCUCCCCCGAUGGCAGACAAUGGGGAGCACCGAGUCUUUGGUAGCUGCGUCUUGAAAGGAAACCGCACACGGUCACCCGAGCGCAACGAGUUUCCCGGGACGGUCCUUGGGAAGAUGGAAAACGCCCCAAGUCACGAGCAGAGCCAGCCGGGAACCCAGGGCCAGCUGCUCGAGGCCACCCCAGGCUACCGCUCCCAGGGCUGGCGUGAGAAUGGGGACUGCACAAGGCCGUCUGGUUCUGAAAUCAUCCUUCUCGGGACUGAGCGAGGCGUGCUUGGGGGUGACACUGGCUAAUUGCUCUCAUAUUCUCUUUCAAUAAAUGGCACCCUCAUGCAGCUCCUCUGA